UACGAAGGGACCUAGCGUAGUUCGGAAUUACUGGGCUUAAAGAGUUCGUAGGUGGUUGAAAAAGUUGGUGGUGAAAUCCCAGAGCUUAACUCUGGAACUGCCAUCAAAACUUUUCAGCUAGAGUAUGAUAGAGGAAAACAGAAUUUCUAGUGUAGAGGUGAAAUUCGUAGAUAUUAGAAAGAAUACCAAUUGCGAAGGCAGCUUUCUGGAUCAUUACUGACACUGAGGAACGAAAGCAUGGGUAGCGAAGAGGAUUAGAUACCCUCGUAGUCCAUGCCGUAAACGAUGUGUGUUAGACGUUGGAAAUUUAUUUUCAGUGUCGCAGCGAAAGCGAUAAACACACCGCCUGGGGAGUACGACCGCAAGGUUAAAACUCAAAUGAAUUGACGGGGACCCGCACAAGUAGUGGAGCAUGUGGUUUAAUUCGAAGAUACGCGCAGAACCUUACCAACACUUGACAUGUUCGUCGCGACUCUAAGAGAUUAGAGUUUUCGGUUCGGCCGGACGAAACACAGGUGCUGCAUGGCUGUCGUCAGCUCGUGUCGUGAGAUGUUGGGUUAAGUCCCGCAACGAGCGCAACCCUCACUUUUAGUUGCCAUCAUUAAGUUGGGCACUCUGAAAGAACUGCCAGUGAUAAGCUGGAGGAAGGUGGGGAUGACGUCAAGUCCUCCUGGCCCUUACGUGUUGGGCUACACACGUGCUACAAUGGUAUCUACAACAGGAAGCAAGACGGCGACGUUAAGCAAAUCCUUAAAAGAUACCUCAGUUCGGAUUGCACUCUGCAACUCGAGUGCAUGAAGCUGGAAUUACUAGUAAUCGUGGAUCAGCGUGCCACGGUGAAUGCGUUCCCGGGUCU
rnacentral:rRNA from 1 species